AAGACCUUGCGCUUUUGGAGCGGCCGAUGCCUGAUUAGCUUGUUGGUAAGGUAAAAGCUUACCAAGGCUUCGAUCAGUAGCUGGUCUGAGAGGACGGCCAGCCACACUGGGACUGAGACACGGCCCAGACUCCUACGGGAGGCAGCAGUGGGGAAUUUUGGAUAAUGGGGGCAACCCUGAUCCAGCCAUGCCGCGUGAGUGAAGAAGGCCUUCGGGUUGUAAAGCUCUUUCAGCCGGAACGAAACGGUUACGGUUAAUACCCGUGACUACUGACGGUACCGGAAGAAGAAGCACCGGCUAACUACGUGCCAGCAGCCGCGGUAAUACGUAGGGUGCAAGCGUUAAUCGGAAUUACUGGGCGUAAAGCGUGCGCAGGUGGUUUUGUAAGUCAGAUGUGAAAUCCCCGGGCUUAACCUGGGAACU
rnacentral:rRNA from 1 species